rnacentral:tRNA from 1 species
GAAAAUCCAAUGUCUGAAGUUAAAAAAGUUAUCACCGUUUCUGACCGUUCUACCAAAGCUCUGGUAGUUGCUAUUGCUGGCUUAGG